rnacentral:ncRNA from 2 species
GUGCAAAACACCGGAGAGAGGCAGCAGAUGCCCGCCGAAGGAGCAAGCCGUACGCGGUGAAUCUCUCAGGCCCAGUGACGGUGGGGGCGAC